CCGCAGGCGGUACGACUUAACGACGUUAGUCUUCCGGAAGCCACGACCUCAAGGGCACAACCUCCAAGUCGACAUCGUUUACAGCGUGGACUACCAGUGGUAUCUAAUCCUGUUUGCUCCCCACGCUUUCGCACCUGAGCGUCAGUCUUUGUCACAGGGGGCCGCCUUCGCCACCGGUAUUCCUCCAGAUCUCUACGCAUUUCACCGCUACACCUGGAAUUCUACCCCCCUCUACAAGACUCUAGCUUGCCAGUUUCAAAUGCAGUUCCCACGUUAAGCGCGGGGAUUUCACAUCUGACUUAACAAACCGCCUGCGUGCGCUUUACGCCCAGUAAUUCCGAUUAACGCUUGCACCCUCCGUAUUACCGCGGCUGCUGGCACGGAGUUAGCCGGUGCUUCUUCUGCGAGUAACGUCAAUGAACUGUGCUAUUAACACUCGAACCCUUCCUCCUCGCUGAAAGUGCUUUACAACCCGAAGGCCUUCUUCACACACGCGGCAUGGCUGCAUCAGGCUUGCGCCCAUUGUGCAAUAUUCCCCACUGCUGCCCUCCCGUAGGAGUCUAGGACCGUGUCUCAGUUCCAGUGUGGCUGGGUCAUCCUCUCAGAACAAGCUAAGGGAUCGUCGCCCUAAGGUGGAGCCAAUUAACCCCCAACCCUAACUUAAGCCCUAAAUUCCCCA
rnacentral:rRNA from 1 species